rnacentral:rRNA from 1 species
UACCCGCUGAACUUAAGCAUAUCAAUAAGCGGAGGAAAAGAAACUAACUAGGAUGCCCUUAGUAACGGCGAGCGAACCGGGCAAAGCCCAACUUGAAAAUCUCCAGCCUCCGGCUGGCGAAUUGUAGUCUAGAGAAGUGCUCUCUGCGCCAGUCCGGCCCCAAGUCCCCUGGAAAGGGGAGUCAGAGAGGGUGAGAACCCCGUUGGGACCGGAUCCUGGUGCUCCACGAGACGCUUUCGCAGAGUCGGGUUGUUUGGGAAUGCAGCCCAAAGCAGGUGGUAAAUCCCAUCUAAGGCUAAAUACAGACGGGAGACCGAUAGCGAACAAGUACCGCGAGGGAAAGAUGAAAAGAACUUUGAAAAGAGAGUUAAAAAGUGCUUGAAAUUGUUGAGAGGGAAGUGAUUGGAUCCUACGGGUGCGCCCAGGCACACGCCUGCCUAACGGUUGGCUGAAUGCGCUGGGUGCUGGUCAGCAUGGGUUGGCCGGGCGGGACAAACCCGGGGAUUGCUACCCCGGCUAUGUCGCCUGGCCGACUGAGGAAAGAAGGGCGCUCU